UGGGGAAUAUUGCACAAUGGAGGGAACUCUGAUGCAGCGACGCCGCGUGAACGAAGAAGGCUUUCGAGUCGUAAAGUUCUUUUAUAUGGGAAGAUAAUGACGGUACCAUAAGAAAAAGCCCCGGCUAACUACGUGCCAGCAGCCGCGGUAAUACGCAGGGGGCUCGCGUUGUCCGGAAUCACUGGGCGUAAAGGGUUCGCAGGCGGAAAUGCAAGUCAGGUGUAAAAGGCAGUAGCUUAACUACUGUAAGCAUUUGAAACUGCAUAUCUUGAGAAGGGUAGAGGUAAGUGGAAUUUUUAGUGUAGCGGUGAAAUGCGUAGAUAUUAAAAAGAAUACCGGUGGCGAAGGCGACUUACUGGGCUCAUUCUGACGCUGAGGAACGAAAGCGUGGGUAGCAAACAGG
rnacentral:rRNA from 1 species